GAUGAACGCUGGCGGCGUGCCUAAUACAUGCAAGUCGAGCGAACAGACGAGGAGCUUGCUCCUCUGACGUUAGCGGCGGACGGGUGAGUAACACGUGGAUAACCUACCUAUAAGACUGGGAUAACUUCGGGAAACCGGAGCUAAUACCGGAUAAUAUAUUGAACCGCAUGGUUCAAUAGUGAAAGACGGUUUUGCUGUCACUUAUAGAUGGAUCCGCGCCGCAUUAGCUAGUUGGUAAGGUAACGGCUUACCAAGGCGACGAUGCGUAGCCGACCUGAGAGGGGAAACGGCAAAGGGGAGACAAAGGAAGGGCCAAAACCCAACGGGGAGGAGGAGAGGGGAAUUCGUCGGAAGGGGGAAAAGGCCUGAGGGAGCAAGGCAGGGAGAGGAAGGAAGGUCUAAGGAUCAAAAACCUUUUUAAUGAGGGAAAAAAAGAGAGGAAAGAAAAAAGGCGCGUCUUAAGGGUACAAAACAAAAAGGCCACGCAAAACUGCGGG
rnacentral:rRNA from 1 species